rnacentral:rRNA from 1 species
GACGAACGCUGGCGGCGUGCCUAAUACAUGCAAGUUGAGCGCUGAAGGUUGGUACUUGUACCCACUGGAUGAGCAGCGAACGGGUGAGUAACGCGUGGGGAAUCUGCCUUUGAGCGGGGGACAACAUUUGGAAACGAAUGCUAAUACCGCAUAAAAACUUUAAACACAAGUUUUAAGUUUGAAAGAUGCAAUUGCAUCACUCAAAGAUGAUCCCGCGUUGUAUUAGCUAGUUGGUGAGGUAAAGGCUCACCAAGGCGAUGAUACAUAGCCGACCUGAGAGGGUGAUCGACCACAUUGGGACUGGGGCACGGCCCAAACUCCUACGGGAGGCAGCAGUAGGGAAUCUUCGGAAAUGGACGAAAGUCUGACCGAGCAACGCCGCGUGGGUGAAGAAGGUUUUCGGAUCGUAAAACUCUGUUGGUAGAGAAGAACGUUGGUGAGAGUGGAAAGCUCAUCAAGUGACGGUAACUACCCAGAAAGGGACGGCUAACUACGUG